AGUCAUGUAAUUCACCCUCACAGAACGAAUAUAAAAAAGUGUAUUCUGAUUGGUGUAAUGAAUUUGAAAAGUAUAAAACUGAAAUGAAAUUAUGGCAGAACAACCAAGUGAAAUGUCAAAGUCCACAUCCAAAUGAUGUUACCUACCUUGGAGAUUCACCACAUCUAUGACGGAAUGUAGCACCGUGAAACAUAACUUAUAACUUUUCAAACAAUGUUGAUAAUUCUUAUUGCUGUGCAUAGGUUUUUUAAUAUAAAGUGCUUUGUAUCAAACAACUGACCAAAAGAGUCAAGAAAAUUAUUUCAGUUGGAGUAAGAGAAUCAUAUUUGAAACUUUACAAAUAUCUCUUCUUCUUAACAUAAAUCAGGCAUUGUCAUCAUUGUGAUAUUACAAGUGGUGUAGGUGACUAAGCCAGUCUGAGUGCCAGUACAGUUUGCUAUUUGUAAAUAUAUGUGUAUAAUGAACUUCACAAACACACACACACACACACAUGCACAAAAAGUUAACUUUGGUUGUUAUCAUGCUUUCUGAUUCAACAUAGUGUAGCUAUAAUCACUACUUGGGAGGUUACUCUGAUGAUAGUCGUAACAAAACACCUCUUCACCUGUCAACAAAUGCAACCACAGUCAGUUAUACUGAUGAUUAGUGGCUGUGAUAAUUAGAGUAAAAAUUAAUUUUGUACGAACUGUAUUAUGGACUGGUGGCUAUAACCAUUAUAAUAACUAGUUACCAAGAAGCUACAGUACUUGUUAGUGUAUCUAUAAACUGUUUGGAUGAGUUUUUAAGAUGUCUACUAAAGAGUAAAUCGUUCUCUCCAUGGUACAACGUGCCAGGGUUUUAUGUUAAACCUGAGGAUCUUCGCUCCUGUGUAGUUAACAACUUUCAAAGUACAGUUUCAUUUCUUGUUUCAAUAAACUGCCAAAGUGAGGAAUUUCUGGUGCCAGGAUGAAAAUUUUCUUUUUUUUAUUCUUUUGAGUAAGGUCUCAAAAGUAUUGUGUGUGUGUGUGUGGUAUUAUUCUAACUACAUAAAGAUGAAAGAACAUUUUAAAUGACUGGAAUGGGGAAUUAUUAAUAAUUCUUGUGGCGUAUAAAGGCAUCAAGAUACCCAAUAAUUCCAUUAACACAUUAAAACUGAAGCCACACAAAAGGCAGCAAUUACCAGUAAUGAUUCUAAAUGUAAUUAGAUUAAUAAUAAAUAACCUUUAAAUAAAUAUUAUUCAAUAAAACAA